rnacentral:rRNA from 1 species
UACAGAGGGGGCAAGCGUUGUUCGGAAUUACUGGGCGUAAAGGGCGCGUAGGCGGCCGCCUAAGUCAGACGUGAAAUCCCUCGGCUCAACCGGGGAACUGCGUCUGAUACUGGGUGGCUUGAAUCCGGGAGAGGGAUGCGGAAUUCCCGGUGUAGCGGUGAAAUGCGCAGAUAUCGGGAAGAACACCCGUGGCGAAGGCGGCUCUCUGGAACGCAACUGACGCUGAGACGCGAAAGCGUGGGGAGCAAACAGGAUUAAGAAACCCCUUGGUAGUC